ensembl:lncRNA LINC01846 long intergenic non-protein coding RNA 1846
AUAAAGGUUACAAAGGGAAUUUUUUAUUACAGGUGUCCUGUUUCUUAAAGAUAAGCAGAGUUAAAGCUGGGUAGAAAUUCAGCUAUGUCAUAUUACCAUUAAACUGUGUAACAAAUUCCUCCUUUUCUCUACAUUUACUCCUCAUUCUUGAGGGGUAUGAAGGGAUGAAGGUCCAUCUUCUAUAACUUCUUUAAGCUGAAUCCAGGUGUUGAUAUGGGACCCAUUAGAGCAGUGAAAUCUUUCCUAGCUAGUCUUGGGUAGGUCUAGUUAUCUCCUGGGUAUAAGCCUAGCUGUUCAUAUUGCUAUAUGGCCUCAACUUGCUUAGACACAAAAGAAACAAGGCAGUUUAAGAAACGGGGCCCAAAGAUCAAGAGAAGUAGGAUAUCAGCUAAAGUGCCCAGGAAGGCACAACAGGAAGUGUUGGUGACUACACACACCCUACCUUGUUCUGCCAAGAGGUCAUCAAGAGCCGGAUGGUUAUAACGCACGAUAUUGGCUAGGGUAGACUCUGGAUGAAACAAGGUGACUCCAAGAGCAAAGCUUAGAAUACCUGAAUACCUGCAAGCAAGACAAGUAGAUUAAGUCCUGACAGAAAAGUAUACGCGGGCCCAAGCUAUUUUUAGCCUCUGUGGACAGCUCCAUAGGGAGAAUGAACUAUUCGUCAACGUCACCCAUAUUUUACUGAAGAUUUUGAAGGUAUUCCAAUGUGACUGACUACUACGUUUCCUCACAUGUGUGCUGCUGUAUCUGAGAUCACCAUGUUUUCAAUUAUCUCAUAUGAACCUGUUUCUGUUCAGAAAAAAUCCUUCCCUGGUGAUCCUAUUGUGGUAGACAUAAAACUGUGCCACCCAGAUCCCAUUCCAGGGAAGAAUAUGCUGCUGAGCUGUUGGAAGUACAAUCAGUGGAAAACCUUGGUCUGUCAGCAACUUCAAGGUUUGCCUCCUUUGCAGAAAUGGUCCAUUCAAAGUCAUGCCCUUCCUAUAGCAGUCUACAUUCAACCACUGAGUGAGGCAGAAAUAAAAAAGUGCUGAUAAUUUUCAACCUACAAGGGCAUUAAUGAGCAAUACCUGCUCCAGAGCUCCACAGUGGGUUCUCAGAAGAUGUGUCUUGCCUGCAGCACAGCUUGACUCCUUCCACUAUUCAUUUUUUCUUCUUUUCCUUUUACUUCAGAGGCAUUAAAAAUGAAUAAAAAUCUUGAA